GAUGAACGCUGGCGGCGUGCUUAACACAUGCAAGUCGAACGGAACUCCUAUGAUUGAGGUUUCGGCCAAAAGAAUAGGACGCUUAGUGGCGGACGGGUGAGUAACGCGUGAGUAACCUGCCUUGGAGUGGGGAAUAACACAGUGAAAACUGUGCUAAUACCGCAUAAUGCAUUUGGGUCGCAUGAUUCUGAAUGCCAAAGAUUUAUCGCUCUGAGAUGGACUCGCGUCUGAUUAGCUAGUUGGCGGGGUAACGGCCCACCAAGGCGACGGUCAGUAGCCGGACUGAGAGGUUGGCCGGCCACAUUGGGACUGAGACACGGCCCAGACUCCUACGGGAGGCAGCAGUGGGGAAUAUUGGGCAAUGGGCGCAAGCCUGACCCAGCAACGCCGCGUGAAGGAAGAAGGCUUUCGGGUUGUAAACUUCUUUUGUCAGGGACGAAGCAAGUGACGGUACCUGACGAAUAAGCCACGGCUAACUACGUGCCAGCAGCCGCCGUAACAC
rnacentral:rRNA from 1 species